rnacentral:rRNA from 1 species
GAUGAACGCUAGCUACAGGCUUAACACAUGCAAGUCGAGGGGCAGCAUGGUCUUAGCUUGCUAAGGCCGAUGGCGACCGGCGCACGGGUGAGUAACACGUAUCCAACCUGCCGUCUACUCUUGGACAGCCUUCUGAAAGGAAGAUUAAUACAAGAUGGCAUCAUGAGUCCGCAUGUUCACAUGAUUAAAGGUAUUCCGGUAGACGAUGGGGAUGCGUUCCAUUAGAUAGUAGGCGGGGUAACGGCCCACCUAGUCUUCGAUGGAUAGGGGUUCUGAGAGGAAGGUCCCCCACAUUGGAACUGAGACACGGUCCAAACUCCUACGGGAGGCAGCAGUGAGGAAUAUUGGUCAAUGGGCGCAGGCCUGAACCAGCCAAGUAGCGUGAAGGAUGACUGCCCUAUGGGUUGUAAACUUCUUUUAUAAAGGAAUAAAGUCGGGUAUGUAUACCCGUUUGCAUGUACUUUAUGAAUAAGGAUCGGCUAACUCCGUG